UUAGAUUCACGCACAAACUCGU
rnacentral:ncRNA from 2 species